AGAUGAUCACAUCACUAUUGGAAUAUUUGGAUAGAGACUGCGAUAUCACUGUCUUUCCACAGCCGAAAGCCCCCGGGAUUGCAGUAGUUCCUCCCUGUACACAUCUGAGCGGAGAAAACAAAGUGUGGAUUACUACACUUGCUAAUUACUACUAACAAAGUAGGUUGAAAACAGAAUGGAGUGAGAAGACACAAUCUCUCCCCCAAGGAGCUUCUGGCCUGGUGGGAUGGAUAUAAAGACAAAUAGGGAGUUACAA